CCUAAUUGUUACCAACAACACAAAUGCCGUUCUGAAUGUCUUCCCUAUAAAUACAACUGAAACCGCCGAGAUGACCAACAGCAGCAAGUUGCUUGGCGAUGGAGAUGAAAUUUGAGAUUUAUUUAUUAUUUGUUUAUUUGAAUGCCUCGUUAGCUUAUCUGAUGUAUAUGCGCAUAGUUGCUGCGUGUAUGCGCGCCGCAGAGGUAGAGCGAGGGGCAGGAGAGUUGAGUCGCUUCGCCUUAGUAUUGAACCGGGCGAAGUGAAUAAUAUUCCUGCCACAUCCAUCAUACUCUUCAUCCUCUCGUUGUGUGUUUGUGUGUGUGUGUCAUGAUAUUGCCAUGGAAUUGGAAUGCAGAGUCUAUAGAUGUAAUAUUUGAUGAGACCUGAUUGUUCAAUUUGAUGCAACAAAACACGCAGAGGAUGUCCUCCUCCUCAACUCUGACUCUAAUUUUUUGUUUGAUAAAGGGUGCAGUAUCAGAUUGAUGAACUAGGGGUAGGGGUAGGGGUAGGGGUAGCACUGGUAGAGAAUGCAAGCAACCUAAAAAGCCGAGGGUAAGUAUAUAUGUAGGUGCGCUUGGUUUUUAUUUUGUUUUUGUAUGUUAGUUUGUAUCGGUUUUGUGCAUAUGUUUGUUUGUGUAAUUGGAAAUGAGAAUGUGUAUGACAGACAGACAGACAGACAGACAUGAAUGAAACUCAACAAACAGGGCAUGUUAUCAAGAUCCACCACCAAGAUAGUGAUUCUACUCCAUUCCCACUCCUUCGAUUAUGACUUGGGUUGGCGUUUGGUGGUUUUGGGAUAUGGUAAGUGAGGAUUGAAUGAGUUGGAGUUGGAGGGAGCAGGCAGGUAGGUAGGUUUCGUGCAUGGUGCUUUGGUUCGUUUCGUUUAUCUGUUGAUGGUUGGUUGGUGAUUGAAUCUCCAUCCCCCAUGGAUUUACUCUGUGGAACCCAACCAACCAAUCUGUUGUUGAGAAUUAGUGAUCUAUUUCAUUUUUUAAUUGAGUUGGAACCUGAGGAUGGAUGGACGGGCGGGCGGACGGACGGACGGAGUUGGAAGAGAGAAAAGAGACCUUGAGAAGAGAAGAGAAGAGGGCGGUUGACCUUGCUUUGGGCUUCCCAUCCCAUUGUUCUUGCUGCUGCUGCUAAUGCUAUUCAAGUCAAAUUUAUUAAAGGAUUGUUUGAUUAGGACUGUAUAUUUCCUAAUUUUUACAAUAUAAUUUUAUUUUCAGAAAAUAAUAAUAAUAAUAAUAAUAAUAAUAAAGGGCACUCUUCAUUUCUUUGACUAGCUCAAGUCGAAAUGACUUGAGUAGGUUUAGUUUUCAUAUUCUUGUACAA